rnacentral:rRNA from 1 species
GAUGAACGCUGGCGGCGUGCCUAAUACAUGCAAGUCGAGCGAACAGACGAGGAGCUUGCUCCUCUGACGUUAGCGGCGGACGGGUGAGUAACACGUGGAUAACCUACCUAUAAGACUGGGAUAACUUCGGGAAACCGGAGCUAAUACCGGAUAAUAUAUUGAACCGCAUGGUUCAAUAGUGAAAGACGGUUUUGCUGUCACUUAUAGAUGGAUCCGCGCCGCAUUAGCUAGUUGGUAAGGUAACGGCUUACCAAGGCAACGAUGCGUAGCCGACCUGAGAGGGGGAUCGGCCAACGGGAAACUGGGACACGGCCCAGACCCCCAGGGGGGGCAGCAGGGGGGAAUCUCCCGAAAGGGGGAAAAGCCUGACGGAGCAACCCCGGGUGAGGGAUAAAGUUCUUCGGAUCGUAAAACUCUUUUAUUGGGGAAAAAAAAAUGGGUAAGUAACUAUCCACGUCUUGACGGUACCUAAUCAGAAAGCCCCGGCUAACUACG